UAAGAUCCCAGUUCGCCUAAGAUCCCGCAUUUCCUUACUCCCAAGCACCGGGAUCUUAGGUGGAGACUACUGUAUUGCUAUUAUGAUGUUCUCCUUUGAGAUAGAAGAAAAGUAAUGAACUUGACCCUUGUUCUAAUCUUAUAAAGCAAUUCAUGUCUUUGACACAGUGUUCUGUGUGGAUGCCUAAUGCAGAUUACCUUUAAAGUGCUUUCAGAUUUGCUUUCUCUAUUAGAUUUAUUGUCAGACAUUCUAAAAUGGAAUGCUGCCAUGUAUUAAUAACUCUCUCUAUACUAUACGAUUCGAUUACCAUUGACUCUGACUGGUGCCUGUGGUGUAAUGGUUAUGCCCUUUGUCAUUGCCCGCCUAUGAUGAGGGUUCAGUUCCUGCAUGGGGAAAUUUUGUUUCAUCAAGUAUCUCCAUCUCUCUUCUGGGGUCCUGUAUACUGUAGGCCUAUCCCAUUCAGCCCUGGUUUUCUCUAAAUGGCAGUUUGAUACCACCUGUCUCCUAAAUUAUUUGAAUUAUUAAAUGUCGAUGGCAGCAUUAAUAUUUAGAAUAUCUACAUUCAUGAAGGCUCACAUGAUACAUAAAACCUAUUUCGCUCUUUGAAAAGGGUUUAAUUGACUUAAAUUUCUAGUCUGCUGCUCGUGAAUUUUAAUCUGAGUAGUUAAAGAUUUGUAUCUUUCACUUGAAAGAUCUAGUGAAAAUCUUUUCUGUUUCCAGUGAUUUUCUCGCUUUUUUAUGUUAGUGACUCUUUACCAUUACCAUCCCUUUGUCAUCUUUUACCCAUUUGAUGGUCAUCAUUUGAGGUCAUCAUUUACCCAUUUGAUGCUUGAGUGCUAUUGUAUACCGCUAUACGCAUUGCUUAUUUUACUUUCCCUUUUGGUUAAAAAAAAUGUAUAAUACAUUAUAAUGCUUCAUUCCAAUCCCUAGGUUGAUCCUUUACUGAGUAAAUAUAAUAUGCUUUUUAAGAUGAAUAGACAAAGGUUUUUUCCUUAAGCGGAGUUUUUUAAAACCAUAAGACUUAAUGAUAAUGUUUUACUAUUACUAUAAAUUGGAGAUUUAUUCAAAUGAUCUCUCACAUAGAAGUGAAGUCAUCACAUGUAUUCACAUGAUUUCAUUGUGAUAGUCAUAAGAUCUAUGACAAACGGAUGGAUAGUUAUUUUUGCUAACCAAUCACUGAACGGCUGAUUUAAUCCGCCUGCAUAAUGUCAGAGUAUUUCAAUGGUUCACCAGUUUUUUCUCAAUUAUUCAGUGGGAUAUUUUUUCUCCGAAGUUUCCCUCCUCUGCCUACCAUGUGUAUCUUUUUUACUAUGCCUACUUUGCCCAUUCGUAAGUAAUAAGUUUCAUGAAGACACAAUACAAGCUUGUUCCGAUUUGAUUUGGACUACAGAAAAUUACAUCAUGUUUGAAAUAAACUAAGGGAUCUGACUAUUUUAA